ACUCCUACGGGAGGCAGCAGUGGGGAAUAUUGCACAAUGGGCGCAAGCCUGAUGCAGCCAUGCCGCGUGUAUGAAGAAGGCCUUCGGGUUGUAAAGUACUUUCAGCAGUGAGGAAGGUGGGUAUGUUAAUAGCAUAUUCAUUUGACGUUAGCUGCAGAAGAAGCACCGGCUAACUCCGUGCCAGCAGCCGCGGUAAUACGGAGGGUGCGAGCGUUAAUCGGAAUUACUGGGCGUAAAGCGCAUGCAGGUGGUUUGUUAAGUCAGAUGUGAAAGCCCGGGGCUCAACCUCGGAAUUGCAUUUGAAACUGGCAAACUAGAGUACUGUAGAGGGGGGUAGAAUUUCAGGUGUAGCGGUGAAAUGCGUAGAGAUCUGAAGGAAUACCGGUGGCGAAGGCGGCCCCCUGGACAGAUACUGACACUCAGAUGCGAAAGCGUGGGGAGCAAACAGGAUUAGAUACCCUGGUAGGCACCGC
rnacentral:rRNA from 1 species